GAUGAACGCUGGCGGCGUGCCUAAUACAUGCAAGUCGAGCGAACAGACGAGGAGCUUGCUCCUCUGACGUUAGCGGCGGACGGGUGGGUAACACGUGGAUAACCUACCUAUAAGACUGGGAUAACUUCGGGAAACCGGAGCUAAUACCGGAUAAUAUAUUGAACCGCAUGGUUCAAUAGUGAAAGACGGUUUUGCUGUCACUUCUAGAUGGAUCCGCGCCGCAUUAGCUAGUUGGUAAGGUAACGGCUUACCAAGGCGACGAUGCGUAGCCGACCUGAGAGGGUGAUCGGCCACACUGGAACUGAGACACGGUCCAGACUCCUACGGGAGGCAGCAGUAGGGAAUCUUCCGCAAUGGGCGAAAGCCUGACGGAGCAACGCCGCGUGAGUGAUGAAGGUCUUCGGAUCGUAAAACUCUGUUAUUAGGGAAGAACAAAUGUGUAAGUAACUAUGCACGUCUUGACGGUACCUAAUCAGAAAGCCACGGCUAACUACGUG
rnacentral:rRNA from 1 species